CUUGAUACUCCUCGUGCCUUUCCUCGUGCUCCUUGUGGAUUUUGCUUUGGUUCUUGGACUUUGAGUUUGAUUCCUGGAUUUGAUUUUAAAGCUGAAGUUUGAGUGAUACCAAAGUGUUCUUGUUGCUUCAGGGCUUUUUUUCCUUCUUCCUGUCCAUUAGGCCCAGAUAACCUCUGCCUGCUGGACCCUAGCAUCUUAAAACCCUGUGACCCCGCCCUUGACCUUUGCCCCGACCCUCUUCCACUCCAAGACCCCCUCCCAGUCCAAGAAGAAACCAGUGAGAGGAUGCGGGUGCCUCGGAGGAAGCUCUGGUUACUGGAGCAUGUGGAUUCAUUAACAAAUAUCUGUCUGUUUGCUGCAGUAAUGAGUGAGGCUGCAAUUUAAAGUUGGAUGAACAGCCGCGUGGAAUCCAAACUGGUCGGACGGGCUGCUGGUGUCAAUCACAAGAGGAGGUUCACCAGAAGGGCACCUCCAGCCUACCUGCCUCCGUCAGCACCAACAGACAGGCUUGGAUAGUCAUGGGUGAGGGUGCUCCAUGUAAACUAGUCUGCUAAACCC